rnacentral:rRNA from 1 species
AGUGACAAGAAAUAACAAUACAGGACUUUUUGGUUUUGUAAUUGGAAUGAGUUAAGUAUAAACCCCUUUACAAGUAUCAAUUGGAGGGCAAGUCUGGUGCCAGCAGCCGCGGUAAUUCCAGCUCCAAUAGCGUAUAUUAAAGUUGUUGCAGUUAAAAAGCUCGUAGUUGGAUUUCUGUUAACAAUUUAUAUAAAAUAUUUUGAUGAAUAUUUAUAUAAUAUUAACAUAAUUCAUAUUACUAUUUUUUUUUUUAGUAUAUGAAAUUUUACUUUGAGAAAAUUAGAGUGCUUAAAGCAGG